AGUAUACAUUAGAGAGGAGAAGUGAGAACAAGUCAAGUAUAGCUACAUUAGAGAGGAGGAGGAGGGACAACCAGUCUAGUAUAGAUGCCUUAGAGAGGAGGAGGAGGGAGAACCAGUUGAGUAAUGCUACAUUAAAGAGGAGGAGGGAGAACCAGUCUAUUAUAGAUACAUUAGAGAUGAGGGGGGAGGACCAUUCUAGUACAGCUACAUUAGAGAGGAGGAGGAGAGAGAACCAGUCCAGUGCAGCUACAUUAGAGACGAGGAGGAGUAGGAGGAGGAGGGAUAACCAGUCUACUAUAGCUACAUUAGAGAGGCGGAGGAGGGAGAACCAGUCUAGUACAGCUACAUAAGAGAGGAGGAGGGAGAACCAGUCUAGUAUAGAUACAUUAGAGAGUAGGAGGAGGGAGAACCAGUCUACUACAGCUACAUUAGAGAGGAGGAAGAGGGAGAACAGGUCUAGUAUAGCUACAUUAG
ensembl:lncRNA